GCAGGGGACCUUCGGGCCUUGCGCUAUCAGAUGAGCCUAGGUCGGAUUAGCUAGUUGGGUGGGGGUAAAUGGGCUCACCAAGGCGACGAUCCGUAACUGGUCUGAGAGGAUGAUCAGUCACACUGGAACUGAGACACGGUCCAGACUCCUACGGGAGGCAGCAGUGGGGAAUAUUGGGACAAUGGGCGAAAGCCUGAUCCCAGCCAUGCCGCGUGUGUGAAGAAGGUCUUCGGAUUGUAAAGCACUUUAAGUUGGGAGGAAGGGUUGUAGAUUAAUACUCUGCAAUUUUGACGUUACCGACAGAAUAAGCACCGGCUAAUUCUGUGCCCAGCAGCCGCGGGUAAAUA
rnacentral:rRNA from 1 species